UACGGGGGGAGCAAGCGUUGUUCGGAUUUACUGGGCGUAAAGGGCGCGUAGGCGGCCAGCGCAAGUCAGUUGUGAAAUCUCCGGGCUUAACUCGGAACGGUCAACUGAUACUGCGCGGCUAGAGUGCAGAAGGGGCAACUGGAAUUCUCGGUGUAGCGGUGAAAUGCGUAGAUAUCGGGAGGAACACCAGUGGCGAAGGCGGUUGCCUGGAGCUUGCUGACGCUGAGGCGCGAAAGCGUGGGGAGCGAACGGG
rnacentral:rRNA from 1 species